UACGUAGGGCGCAAGCGUUGUCCGGAAUUAUUGGGCGCAAAGAGCUCGUAGGUGGCUUGUCGCGUCUGUCGUGAAAGCCCGGGGCUUAACUCCGGGUCUGCGGUGGAUACGGGCAGGCUAGAGGCAGGUAGGGGAGGAUGGAAUUCCCGGUGUAGCGGUGAAAUGCGCAGAUAUCGGGAGGAACACCGGUGGCGAAGGCGGCUACCUGGACCAGCACUGACACUCAGGCACGAAAGCGUGGGGAGCAAACAGG
rnacentral:rRNA from 1 species